rnacentral:rRNA from 1 species
UCGAAUAAAGUUCUAAAUAGAUAAUUGAUUAUGACAAACUUCUAUUUAUAUGUCUUGACCAAAUCUUGUGCCAGCAGUCGCGGCAAUACAAGUAAGACUAGUGUUAUUCAUCUUUAUUAGGUUUAAAGGGUACCUAGACAGUAUUUUUAACUUUUUAAAUAAAGUAUUUACUAGAGUUUUAUGUGAGAGGUAAAUAUUAGUACUAUUGGUGUAGAGAUGAAAUUCUUUGAUACUAAUGGGAUAGAUAACGGCGAAGGCAACCCUCUAUGUACAAACUGACGUUAAGGGACGAAGGCUUGGGGAGCGAAUAGGAUUUGAUACCCUAGUAGUCCAGGCAGAGAAUUAUGAAUGUUAUAUAUAAACGAAAGUGCAAGCAUUCCACGCUCAAGAGUAGAUGCGGCAACGCAGGAACUAAACAUUAGACCGUUUCUGAAACCAGUAGUGAAGUAUGUUAUUUAAUUCGAUAACCCUCGAUAACACCUUACCACAUAGUGUUGCACGGCUGUGCUUCAGUUAAUGUCGUGAGAUUGUGGUUAAAUUCAUAAAAUUAACGGAAACCC